rnacentral:misc_RNA from 1 species
AAUUCUCAACCUUGGCUUGGUUUUCUUACCAGUGCCUCGGCUUGGAUGUGAGGGCUUGCUGGCUUCCUUUAGUGGCGGUCUGCUCCCUUGAAAUGCAUUAGUGGGAUCCUUUGUGGAGCGUCACUUGGUGUGAUAAUUAUCUACGCCGCUUGACUGCGAAGCAAGACUUAUGGGAACCCGCUCAUAACCGUCUCGUAAGGGACAAUACAUUUGACA